UCUGAUUACAGGGGUUCAUGCAAGUUCUGACUCCACAGACUCAUGUUCUUGUCCUCAAGGCUUCCUUCUUCCGCCUCUGUUUUUGUGUCACCCCUGACGCCACUCUUUUCCCUCUGCCUCUGUCUCAUGUCAGCCCCGAGGUCUCAUCCUGGCCAACUGCGCUCGGGAACAGAAGCGGAGGACCUGCGUCAGUCAGCCCGAACCUGUCCUUCUCCACCGGACACUCGCCAAAAGCAAGUUGUAUUCACAGGUCUGGUGAGGCGGUGGGAAGAGGAAAUCCCCUGCUGGCUGUGCUGCCUGUUCACCGGGGCCGGGAAGAGUUGCCGCCAGCCUCCCCAGUUCCACCUGCAACUCGGGGAAGGAAGCAUUCGUUCUCCGGAAUAACACAGAUGAUGGUGAGUUAAGCACAGCUUUCAGAAUGACGCAGCUUUGAGCGGUAGAGCUGGAAUUUGAACACCAGAAUCUGGAGCUGGAUCGCUGCUGUUGGUUUUAUUGCAAAAUAAUUGACACCUGUCACUGUGUAAGUUGAAGGCACCAAGCAUGAUGAUUUUAUUUACGUACAUCGUGAAAUGAUUCCCACAGUAGAUUCAACCAACAUCCAUCAUCUCAUGCAGACACAAUAAGAAGAGAAGAAAGAAAAAAGAAGAAAGGAAAAUAUUUUUCUCCUUUGAUGAGGACUCUUAGGAUCCACUCGUCGAGCUUUCCCGUGUGUCGCACAGCAGCGCUGACCUGGGUCGUCGUGUGGCACAUUCCGACCCGGGACGUAGUGUCUGUAACAGGAAGUCUGUACCUUUGCCCACCUGCCUCCACGUCCCUCCCCACCCUCUGCUCUGGUGACCACAAGUCGGAUCUCUUUCUCUAUGAGUUUCGUUGGUUUUUUUAGAUCCCAUCUGUGAGUGAGGUCAUACGGUAUUUGUCUUUCUCUCUGUAUUUCUUUCUAAAUCAAAUCCUAUCUCCUUUUAUCUUUCAGAGAUUUCUCUAAUAUUUGCUGAUCACAUUCUUUUUCAUUUGUCAUUACAUCAUAAAUUUAUUCUUGUUUUAUUGAACCUUUCCUAUCAUUUCAAGGAUGUGGUAGUAGGAGGAGUCAAGAAUAGGCGAGCUAAGUCGGCCCUUUUAAGAUCAGAUCCAAACCACUCUGGACUUCAGGCCAAUGAGGAGUUCCCAGAUUAUUCCUUCUGAUUGGCCCAGAAUUUGUGUUGAGACUUUUAGGUUCUGAACAAGUUAAAAGUCGAUUCCUAUGAAGAAGGCUAUCAUUGCUAUCAUUGUCUUUUUUUCUUUUAACAAAUUUCAGGAUUUUAUUUAAGUUUAUUUCGAAAAUAAAUCUAUUACCCUUAUCCUCUACUCUCUGAAAAGUUUCAUAGAAUAUUAAUUAUAUGUGUCAAUCAACUUAGAAUACUUAGUUUUAUUCUCUAUAUAUUUUUCCUCACAACUCUAUAGUAGAAAAGAAAUAAAGCUUAAUAUCUUAUAUCCUUCUUGUUACUCUCUGUUACAUUUUAAGAAUCUGAUUAAUAAAAUUUCAAUACAUUCAAUUCUUUUGAUGUCUAGACCACUAGGUCUGGGAGUUGCCUGGCCCGGCCGUCGGCGCCUCCCCUCCUGAGCAUGAGCAGCUCUGACAGACGGACCAGACCUCGUCUCCUGUCCUCACUCUUCUCACAAAGACUUUUCAAGGUCAUGGUUUUGCGUGUCCCAGGACCAUGCAGGGUCAGAGUCCAGGAAGUGGUUCAAAAAGGAUGGAGGCGUUAAGAUAAAAUAUCUGUGGUUUGAAGGCCUGCUCGAGUCUAAUCUUUAGGAACAUGUAACCUCUUCACAUUUUAAAGUAACUGGGCUUUUCAUGUAUUACCCUUCAUAUGCAGUCAUGUGCCGCAUAACAUUUUGGUCAACGACAGACUGUAUUCAACGGUGGUCCCAUAAGAUUAGCACCAUAGAGCCCAGAUGUGUGGGAGUUUAUACCAUCUAGGCUCAUGUAUGUACACGCUACAAUGUACACACAAGGACAAAAUCACCUGACGAUGGGUUUCCCAGAACGUGUCCCCAUCAAGUGGCGCAUGACUGUAUUUACAUUUGUUACAUUCUUGAGAUCAUAAUUUUGUACCAUUUUGAAAAUUGUCAUUUUCAUUCUUUUACUGAACAUAUUCCAUGUUUUUAUAAAGUCCUGUAUCUGUGGGCAAUAACUAAAUAAAGG
ensembl:lncRNA